rnacentral:rRNA from 1 species
CCUACGGGAGGCAGCAGUGAGGAAUAUUGGUCAAUGGACGAGAGUCUGAACCAGCCAAGUAGCGUGAAGGAUGACUGCCCUAUGGGUUGUACACUUCUUUUGUCAGGGAGCAAUUGGGUCCACGCGUGGGCUUAGCGAGAGUACCUGAAGAAAAAGCAUCGGCUAACUCCGUGCCAGCAGCCGCGGUAAUACGGAGGAGGCGAGCGUUAUCCGGAUUUAUUGGGUUUAAAGGGUGCGUAGGCGGAAUAUCAAGUCAGCGGUAAAAAUUCGGGGCUCAACCCCGUCGUGCCGUUGAAACUGAUUGUCUUGAGUGGGCGAGAAGUAUGCGGAAUGCGUGGUGGAGCGGUGAAAGGCAUAGAUAUCACGCAGAACUCCGAUUGCGAAGGCAGCAUACCGGCGCCCAACUGACGCUGAAGCACGAAAGCGUGGGUAUCGAACAGGAUUAGAUACCCUGGUAGUC